CGGAAGUGGCUCGGAAGGCGCGUUUGGCGGUGUGGGGAGGCACUUGGAGAACACUUCUGCAUCCGAGCCGUGGCUGCAGGCUCCUACUCACUGUCAGGACGAUCCCAGUAUGAUAUCCCAGUAUGAUGUCAGUACACAGCCAGUGCAAUCUCAGCCACUGCCAGGAUGAUCCCAGUACAAACCAGUCUCUGCCAGUGCUGCCACUCCUGGGAUCCCCCAGCCCUCUCUGUGUUCUCCCCUCCCGCAUCUCCCCAGAGGAGCCGCAAGGGUUGGAAGUCCCCAGCCAGGGUCCCCAGCCAGCCCCAGGCUCAAUUCUGUGGAUACAACUUUUCUCUAGUUUCUCAGCCUUCUUUGGGCUGAAUUCUUCUGGGAUCCUCCCUCUUG